UCUUUAAAUUAAUUAAGCUUCUUUUUUCCUUUUAAAUCUAGGCAAAAAUGUAUACAACUGCGAUCCUUUCCACUUUUCCAUAGAAGGAAAGGACACAGGUAGUCACGAAGCAAAGUGUUUAGAUAAAGAAUGUAAAACCUUCGAUCAGAUUAAGUUUACAAUAAGGCACGAAGGAGUAUCAUGCAAUGGAUCAACUGGGUUAUUUUCAUCCUUCACACUUAUAGCUUUAACGUUAUUUUACUUGAUGAAAAUGAACAAGUAGAAAAUGACACACAAUGAUUUUAAAUAUCAAAAUAAACCUGUUAACCAUUUUUUUUUUUCUACAUACAUGUGUGAGUUGUAGGUACAAAUAACUGUUUAUCUCAUUGAUGUAAGCUAAAUAUGAAAUUUAUAAUGGUAAUUUUCUUAAUAAAUUUUCCUUUUUUAAAAAAAAAAAA